GUGGGGAAUCUUCCGCAAUGGACGAAAGUCUGACGGAGCAACGCCGCGUGAGUGAAGAAGGUUUUCGGAUCGUAAAGCUCUUUCGUUAGGGACGAACGUGCUCUUUGUAAAUAAUGAGGAGUAAUGACGGUACCUAAAUAAGAAGCCACGGCUAACUACGUGCCAGCAGCCGCGGUAAUACGUAGGUGGCAAGCGUUGUCCGGAAUUAUUGGGCGUAAAGCGCGCGCAGGCGGGAUAUCAAGUCUGUCUUAAAAGUGCGAGGCUCAACCUCGUGAGGGGACAGAAACUGGUAUUCUUGAGUGUCGGAGAGGAAAGUGGAAUUCCAAGUGUAGCGGUGAAAUGCGUAGAGAUUUGGAAGAACACCAGUGGCGAAGGCGACUUUCUGGACGAUGUCUGACGCUGAGGCGCGAAAGCUAGGGGAGCGAACGGGAUUAGAUACCCGUGUAGUCC
rnacentral:rRNA from 1 species